CAACUUUCAGCAACGGAUCUCUUGGCUCUCGCAUCGAUGAAGAACGCAGCGAAAUGCGAUAAGUAAUGUGAAUUGCAGAAUUCAGUGAAUCAUCGAAUCUUUGAACGCACCUUGCGCCCUUUGGUAUUCCGAAGGGCAUGCCUGUUUGAGUGUCAUGG
rnacentral:rRNA from 1 species